rnacentral:tRNA from 1 species
GCCUUCGUGGCUCCAUGGUUGAGCAUUGACCUAUGAAGCAGAAGGUCAUGGUUCGAUUCCUUGUCAGGGCA